GAAGCCCGCCAGGCCGCCGCUGGUGCAAUCGCCGAAAGGCCGCACUGGAGGAACGUCCGGACUGCAAAGGGCAGCGUAGCAGGUAACACCUGUCCGCCGUGAGGCGAGGAUCAGAGCAACAGAGACGAGUCCUGCAUUCGAAAGGGUGUGGGGGUGAAACGGGCAAUCUCUACGCGCAGCAAUACCAAAUAGGCCAGCGUUGAUGUGGCUCCGCGGAGCUGGCGGGUAGGUAGCAUCGAGCCGGUGGCGCGAGCCCCGGCCCAGAAGAAUGGCGGUCACGUGUGGGCGACCACACGCACAAAAUCCGGCGUAUCGGCGGGCUUCACAC
rnacentral:RNase_P_RNA from 1 species